rnacentral:misc_RNA from 1 species
AUUGUUUAUAAACUGCCAUCAAAUAUAAUUUUACACACAAUUUUGUGAAGGUCAACAUAAAUAAUUAAAUUAAGGUAAGAAAAUGGAACUCAAGAAACCCGGGUGCCUCAUCGAAGUAAAUUUCCGUCUUUGAUCUCGGCGCCGUCCACACUGCUCCUCAAUCAUCUUCCGCCGGACAACUCAAGUGGAGCAAAUUACUUUAAGAUGGACGACAGCCCUAAAUUAAGAUUUGCCCUUCGUUAGUUGCAGAAUUGAUCCCUGAUUUCUCUCCAAUUAAUGGAAGACGACGUCGAGCAAGAGAUAUGGAGUUGGG